rnacentral:rRNA from 1 species
AGAGUUUGAUCCUGGCUCAGGACGAACGCUGGCGGCGUGCCUAAUACAUGCAAGUAGAACGCUGAAGAGAGGAGCUUGCUCUUCUUGGAUGAGUUGCGAACGGGUGAGUAACGCGUAGGUAACCUGCCUUGUAGCGGGGGAUAACUAUUGGAAACGAUAGCUAAUACCGCAUAACAAUGGAUGACACAUGUCAUUUAUUUGAAAGGGGCAAUUGCUCCACUACAAGAUGGACCUGCGUUGUAUUAGCUAGUAGGUGAGGUAAUGGCUCACCUAGGCGACGAUACAUAGCCGACCUGAGAGGGUGAUCGGCCACACUGGGACUGAGACACGGCCCAGACUCCUACGGGAGGCAGCAGUAGGGAAUCUUCGGCAAUGGGGGCAACCCUGACCGAGCAACGCCGCGUGAGUGAAGAAGGUUUUCGGAUCGUAAAGCUCUGUUGUAAGUCAAGAACGGGUGUGAGAGUGGAAAGUUCACACUGUGACGGUAGCUUACCAGAAAGGGACGGCUAACUACGUGCCAGCAGCCGCGGUAAUACGUAGGUCCCGAGCGUUGUCCGGAUUUAUUGGGCGUAAAGCGAGCGCAGGCGGUUUGAUAAGUCUGAAGUUAAAGGCUGUGGCUCAACCAUAGUUCGCUUUGGAAACUGUCAAACUUGAGUGCAGAAGGGGAGAGUGGAAUUCCAUGUGUAGCGGCGAAAUGCGUAGAUAUAUGGAGGAACACCGGUGGCGAAAGCGGCUCUCUGGUCUGUAACUGACGCUGAGGCUCGAAAGCGUGGGGAGCGAACAGGAUUAGAUACCCUGGUAGUCCACGCCGUAAACGAUGAGUGCUAGGUGUUGGAUCCUUUCCGGGAUUCAGUGCCGCAGCUAACGCAUUAAGCACUCCGCCUGGGGAGUACGACCGCAAGGUUGAAACUCAAAGGAAUUGACGGGGGCCCGCACAAGCGGUGGAGCAUGUGGUUUAAUUCGAAGCAACGCGAAGAACCUUACCAGGUCUUGACAUCCCGAUGCUAUUUCUAGAGAUAGAAAGUUACUUCGGUACAUCGGUGACAGGUGGUGCAUGGUUGUCGUCAGCUCGUGUCGUGAGAUGUUGGGUUAAGUCCCGCAACGAGCGCAACCCCUAUUGUUAGUUGCCAUCAUUCAGUUGGGCACUCUAGCGAGACUGCCGGUAAUAAACCGGAGGAAGGUGGGGAUGACGUCAAAUCAUCAUGCCCCUUAUGACCUGGGCUACACGCGUGCUACAAUGGUUGGUACAACGAGUUGCGAGUCGGUGACGGCGAGCUAAUCUCUUAAAGCCAAUCUCAGUUCGGAUUGUAGGCUGCAACUCGCCUACAUGAAGUCGGAAUCGCUAGUAAUCGCGGAUCAGCACGCCGCGGUGAAUACGUUCCCGGGCCUUGUACACACCGCCCGUCACACCACGAGAGUUUGUAACACCCGAAGUCGGUGAGGUAACCUUUUGGAGCCAGCCGCCUAAGGUGGGACAGAUGAUUGGGGUGAAGUCGUAACAAGGUA